GAUGAACGCUGGCGGCGUGCCUAAUACAUGCAAGUCGAGCGAAUGGAUUAAGAGCUUGCUCUUAUGAAGUUAGCGGCGGACGGGUGAGUAACACGUGGGUAACCUGCCCAUAAGACCGGGAUAACUCCGGGAAACCGGGGCUAAUACCGGAUAACAUUUUGAACCGCAUGGUUCGAAAUUGAAAGGCGGCUUCGGCUGUCCCUUAUGGAUGGACCCGCGUCGCAUUAGCUAGUUGGUGAGGUAACGGCUCACCAAGGCAACGAUGCGUAGCCGACCUGAGAGGGUGAUCGGCCACACUGGGACUGAGACACGGCCCAGACUCCUACGGGAGGCAGCAGUAGGGAAUCUUCCGCAAUGGACGAAAGUCUGACGGAGCAACGCCGCGUGAGUGAUGAAGGCUUUCGGGUCGUAAAACUCUGUUGUUAGGGAAGAACAAGUGCUAGUUGAAUAAGCUGGCACCUUGACGGUACCUAACCAGAAAGCCACGGCUAACUACGUGCCAGCAGCCGCGGUAA
rnacentral:rRNA from 1 species